rnacentral:rRNA from 1 species
GAAACCGGGGCUAAUACCGGAUGCUUGAUUGAACCGCAUGGUUCAAUCAUAAAAGGUGGAUUUUAGCUACCACUUACAGAUGGACCCGCGGCGCAUUAGCUAGUUGGUGAGGUAACGGCUCACCAAGGCGACGAUGCGUAGCCGACCUGAGAGGGUGAUCGGCCACACUGGGACUGAGACACGGCCCAGACUCCUACGGGAGGCAGCAGUAGGGAAUCUUCCGCAAUGGACGAAAGUCUGACGGAGCAACGCCGCGUGAGUGAUGAAGGUUUUCGGAUCGUAAAACUCUGUUGUUAGGGAAGAACAAGUACCGUUCGAAUAGGGCGGCACCUUGACGGUACCUAACCAGAAAGCCACGGCUAACUACGUGCCAGCAGCCGCGGUAAUACGUAGGUGGCAAGCGUUGUCCGGAAUUAUUGGGCGUAAAGCGCGCGCAGGCGGUUUCUUAAGUCUGAUGUGAAAGCCCCCGGCUCAACCGGGGAGGGUCAUUGGAAACUGGGGAACUUGAGUGCAGAAGAGGAGAGUGGAAUUCCACGUGUAGCGGUGAAAUGCGUAGAGAUGUGGAGGAACACCAGUGGCGAAGGCGACUCUCUGGUCUGUAACUGACGCUGAGGCGCGAAAGCGUGGGGAGCGAACAGGAUUAGAUACCCUGGUAGUCCACGCCGUAAACGAUGAGUGCUAAGUGUUAGAGGGUUUCCGCCCUUUAGUGCUGCAGCAAACGCAUUAAGCACUCCGCCUGGGGAGUACGGUCGCAAGACUGAAACUCAAAGGAAUUGACGGGGGCCCGCACAAGCGGUGGAGCAUGUGGUUUAAUUCGAAGCAACGCGAAGAACCUUACCAGGUCUUGACAUCCUCUGACAACCCUAGAGAUAGGGCUUCCCCUUCGGGGGCAGAGUGACAGGUGGUGCAUGGUUGUCGUCAGCUCGUGUCGUGAGAUGUUGGGUUAAGUCCCGCAACGAGCGCAACCCUUGAUCUUAGUUGCCAGCAUUCAGUUGGGCACUCUAAGGUGACUGCCGGUGACAAACCGGAGGAAGGUGGGGAUGACGUCAAAUCAUCAUGCCCCUUAUGACCUGGGCUACACACGUGCUACAAUGGGCAGAACAAAGGGCAGCGAAGCCGCGAGGCUAAGCCAAUCCCACAAAUCUGUUCUCAGUUAGAAUGUCAGUCUGCAACUCGACUGCGUGAAGCGGGGAUCGCUAGUCAUCGAGGAUCAGCAGGCCGAGAGAAUAUCUAGACUCAGGUCGUACACAAGGUAGGUCACAUCUAGAGAGUUUGUAACACCCGAAGUCGGUGAGGUAACCU